UACGAAGGGUGCAAGCGUUACUCGGAAUUACUGGGCGUAAAGCGUGCGUAGGUGGUUUCUUAAGUCUGCUGUGAAAGCCCCGGGCUCAACCUGGGAAUUGCAGUGGAUACUGGGGAGCUAGAGUGCGGUAGAGGGUAGUGGAAUUCCCGGUGUAGCGGUGAAAUGCGUAGAUAUCUGGAGGAAUACCGGUGGCGAAGGCGGCAUCCUGGACCGACAUUGACGCUGAGGAGCGAAAGCCAGGGGAGCAAACGGG
rnacentral:rRNA from 1 species